GAGUCCGUCAGGAACAGCGAAGAAGAGGGUAUCCAGCGAAGAAGAAAUCCGAUCCUAUCAGAAACAGCGGUACCGAUAGCACGGAGGAAAACGGUGCUUUUCAGCGACAUCGGCUGGCCAGUCUGUUGAUGAAGUUCUUGGAAGACCAAAUGUAGAAAAGAAUCUGGUCAUGGCAUUAAUGAUUGAACUAGCAGUGAUUUUACGGAGAGGAAUGGCUUCAGGGUAGCGAGUGGAAGCGCACAUUAAGGUAAGUAAAAACUGAUUACCAGAUUUGGUUCGUGGUAAAGGACCCACACAAUCCAUAAUGAUGCGUUCAAAUGGUUCUUUCACUGCAGGAAUUGGAUGGAGCGGAGCAUUUGGUAUGGUCUGGUUAGGCUUUCCAGCCAUCUGACAUAUGUGGCAACUGCGGCAGAAUUUAACCACAUCUGUUUUUAAUCCAGGCCAGUAAAAGUGUUUCAAAAUCA